UGGGGAAUAUUGGACAAUGGGCGAAAGCCUGAUCCAGCCAUGCCGCGUGUGUGAAGAAGGCCUUUCGGUUGUAAAGCACUUUAAGCGAGGAGGAGGCUACUUAGAUUAAUACUCUAGGAUAGUGGACGUUACUCGCAGAAUAAGCACCGGCUAACUCUGUGCCAGCAGCCGCGGUAACACAGAGGGUGCGAGCGUUAAUCGGAUUUACUGGGCGUAAAGCGUGCGUAGGCGGCUUCUUAAGUCGGAUGUGAAAUCCCUGAGCUUAACUUAGGAAUUGCAUUCGAUACUGGGAAGCUAGAGUAUGGGAGAGGAUGGUAGAAUUCCAGGUGUAGCGGUGAAAUGCGUAGAGAUCUGGAGGAAUACCGAUGGCGAAGGCAGCCAUCUGGCCUAAUACUGACGCUGAGGUACGAAAGCAUGGGGAGCAAACAGG
rnacentral:rRNA from 1 species